rnacentral:rRNA from 1 species
UGAAUACGAGACGCUAAGGCGUCGAAGUAGUGUAUGUCAUACUUCCAAGAAAAGCUUGCACUGUCAUAGAUAAAAAACGCCUGUACCAUAACCGACACAGGUGGGUAGGUAGAGUAUACUAAGGGGCGCGAGAUAACUCUCUCUAAGGAACUCGGCAAAAUAACUCCGUAACUUCGGGAGAAGGAGUGCCUUAUUCUUAAGGUUGCAAUAACAAGAUCCAAGCAACUGUUUAUCAAAAACACAGGUCUCCGCUAAGUCGUAAGACGAUGUAUGGGGGCUGACGCCUGCCCAGUGCCAGAAGGUUAAAGAAGCUGGUUAGCAUUUGCGAAGCUAGUAACUGAAGCCCUGGUGAACGGCGGCCGUAACAAUAACGGUCCUAAGGUAGCGAAAUUCCUUGUCGGGUAAGUUCCGACCCGCACGAAAGGCGUAAUGAUUUGGAUACUGUCUCGGAGAGGGGCUCGGUGAAAUAGACUUGUCUGUGAAGAUGCGGACUACCUGCACCAGGACAGAAAGACCCUAUGAAGCUUUACUGUAACUUGAAAUUGAAAUUGGACUUUAUUCGCGCAGUAUAGGUGGGAGGCGUUGAUUAUAAUCUUGCGGGAUUAUUGGAGCCAUUAGUGAGAUACCACUCUUGUAAUGUUAGAUUUCUAACUUUGAAUCAUUAUCUGGUCAAAGAACAGUUUCAGGCGGGCAGUUUGACUGGGGCGGUCGCCUCCCAAACGGUAACGGAGGCGUACAAAGGUUUCCUCUGAACGGUUAGAAAUCGUAUCUAGAGUGUAAAGGCAUAAGGAAGCUUGACUGUGAGACCUACAAGUCGAGCAGGGACGAAAGUCGGUCUUAGUGAUCUGACGGUACUGAGUGGAAAGGCCGUCACUCAACGGAUAAAAGUUACUCUAGGAUAACAGGCUGAUCUCCCCCAAGAGUUCACAUCGACGGGGAGGUUUGGCACCUCGAUGUCGGCUCAUCGCAUCCUGGGGCGGUAGUACGUCCCAAGGGUUGGGCUGUUCGCCCAUGAAAGCGGUACGCGAGCUGGGUUCAGAACGUCGUGAGACAGUUCGGUCCAUAUCCGGUGUAGGCGUUAGAAUAUUGAGAGGAGCCUUCUUUAGUACGAGAGGACCGAGAAGGACAUACCUCUGGUGUACCAGUUAUCGUGCCAACGGUAGACGCUGGGUAGCUAUGUAUGGAGUGGAUAACCGCUGAAAGCAUCUAAGUGGGAAGCCCACCUCAAGAUAAGUAUUCUCAUCA